rnacentral:lncRNA from 1 species
UGAAAGCUUCUUCCUUGUGAUGGCUUUCUAUGUUUCAGGCCUUCCCCAACUCCCGCUCCCGCCCCUGCUCCUGCCCCUUCUGCUGCUCCUGCAUCAACUGCUGUGUAAGUAUAUUCUUCAAGAAACAUUUCCUCCUUUUGCAUUUUCUGCUGAAUUGUUAGAUGACCUUCUACGUAUAUGAUCUAUUUAUAUGGCCAGGCCAGGAUCCGAUGUCUAUGGCCAAGCCGCUUCAAGCUUGGUCGCUGGUAACAACCUUGAUGGAGCCAUUCAGCAGAUUCUUGACAUGGGUGGUGGAAUGUGGGAUAGGGACACAGUUGUUCGGCCCCAACUCCCGCUCCUGCCCCUUCUCCUUCUCCUGCUCCUCCUCCUGCUGCUGCUGCUGCUGCAUCAACUGCUGUGUAAUUCUUCAAGAACAUUUCCUCCUUUUGGCAUUUCUGCUGAGUUGUUAGAUGACCUUCUACGUAUAUGAUCUAUUUAUAUGGCCAGGCCAGGAUCCGAUGUCUAUGGCCAAGCAGCUUCAAGCUUGGUCGCUGGUAACAACCUUGAUGGAGCCAUUCAGCAGAUUCUUGACAUGGGUGGUGGAAUGUGGAAUAGGGAUACAGUUGUUCGAGCUCUAAGGGCAGCUUUUAACAAUCCCGAGAGAGCUGUUGAAUACUUGUACUCCGUAAGUUUGUUGACUCCUUUUUGAUGAAUUGUGUGGAUCUAUAGCUUUGGGGGUCACUGUUUGCUUUUGCCAUCUCUGGACCCAUUCUUCGUGAACUCCUUGUUCGUUCAAAUAUAGAACAAGUGCUGAUAUUCCUUUCCUGGUAGCUGACGCAGGAGGCUUGCUUGUUCACUUGUUGAGUGAACCUAAUUUUUAGAUCCGUUACAGAUGAGGGCCUUAACUGUGUCAAAAAGUGCAUACCUAAAUGCAAAUGAACCAAAUACAGAGUUCCAACUAAUUAAACGCACAGUAAAUAAAAUUCUACAUCAAUUGGACUGUUUUGCUUCAGAAGGUCCAUUUUUUCUGACAAAGAACAAGGUGAUAUCCUGGUCAGCUUGUGCAAAAUCUCAAGUGAGAAGGAUUUCUGGCAUUCAGAAUAAUAUAAUAUUGUCAGCCUACGUCCUCCAAUUGCCAAAACUAUAGUGUUCAAAAUGUAUUACUGCAACCUAACCCCCAUUUUAAUGGGCAUGAUACAUGAUUUGAAGCCUAGUCUUUGGAGCCAGUUAUCUGUAACAGCUUAAGGUUUUAAAUGGAUGGUUCACACAAUUUUUUAAUGGUAAAAAAGGCAGUGGUAGCAGCAGUCCAGAAUUUCUAUGAUCAAGGAUUUUUUGAAAAGUGCAUGAAUGCUACACUUGCGGCAUUAACUCUGUACUUGAUGCAAUGCCUACAUACAUGAUGUCAUUAUUUCCAAUGUCAGCAUGUGUAGUGACCAGAAUUGAUGCACUAGGAAGAAACUUCAUGUGGGAAGGCAACAGUGAGAAAAAGAAGUUUCAUUUGGUUAAGUAGAGUGAUCUAAUAACAAGUAAGAAGACAGGGGGGUUGGGAAUUAAAAAUUUGAGUGUCUAGAACCAGAGCUUGAUGCUGAAGUGGCUAUGGGAAUUUGCAGCAGAUGAACAAACAUUGUGGUAAGAAGGGAAAAUAUGGAGAAGGAAGGGAACUGUCAACUACAACUGUAAGAAAGUCAUUUGGUGUCAGUUUAUGGAGAUCAAUUAAAAACCUGUGGCAAAAACUGCUCAAUAAGGCAAAGUUCAAUGUUGGAAAUGGCAGGAGGAUCUCACUAUGGGAGGACAAUUGGUUAGGACAAGGAUCUUUGAAGGGACUCUUUCCUGAUAAUUAUGCAUCGAGUCAACAACAGAAUGCAACAAUAGAAGAGGUAUAAACAUAUCAAGGCUGGAACCUCACAUUUAGAAGAAUGUUAAAUGGUUGAGAGAUUGACAGUGUUAUGGAGAUCAAGUGGGAAGGGAAUAGACGAGGGAAGUUCUCUGUUAAGGCUGCCUACAAGGAAUUUAACUUAUCCAAUAAUCAUGUGGAUUGGUGGCCAUGGAAGAUGAUUUGGAAAAUUAAAAUUCCAUUCAAGGUGGCUUGCAUCACAUGGUUAUUGGCAAGAGAAGUAGUAUUAACACAAGAUAAUUUGACUAAAAGAGGUUUCCAAUUGUGCUCCAAAUGUUAUCUAUGUGGAGAGAAGACAGAGACAAUUAACCAUCUCUUUCUGCAUUGCAAGUUCACUAUUCAAUGGGCCAUGCCAGGAAGAAUCUUUGAUAUUCUAGUCAGCUGGAGUAAAGAGGGCACUCUUUCUAGAGAAACAGAGAGGAUUGUCCCAGCCUGUGGCAUAUGGUGGUAGUAUGGGAC